AUGACUUGUGAUGACACCUGCAAAAAAAGUCUUAUUUUUCAGAUUGCACCAAGAAAAAACUGCUUCCAUGGCUUCCUCGGCCUCCCUGUCGUGCUCGAGAUGGAGAUGCCUCCCUGCUUCACCACUACUAGGUACCUCUUCUUCCUCAGCUUCGUCCUCCUCCUAGCAGUGGAUGCUGCAGGCCCAUCUCCCCAAGCACCCCACCCUCGCCAUGGAUUGAGUGGGAGGUCAGUUUGCUCUGAAUCCCUGAGAGUUUUGGUCCUGCAUCUCUUGCUCAAUCAGCGGGCUGAUCUUUGCCGGCGCCGGGGUGACAUCACCAGAACUGCUGCAUCUUCAUCUGGUUUGCUUUAG
rnacentral:rRNA from 1 species